GAUGAAAAAAUGAUGCUGUGGUUUGGUGUUGGUGUUGUAUUUUUAGUUUUACUGGGGCAGCUGCUUCAGCAGUUUCCAUGGAAACAGGAGUCCCUUCUUUCUUCAUGGGGCUGCUGUAGAGAUGAUGAUGAUGAUGAUGAUGAUGACUUGUACCACAGCAACUACAUGGAUGCCUCUCAUUUCAACUUUGCCUUCCUCAUACAUUUCCAAACAAGAACGUUCAUGAAUCAUCAAUCUAUCCUACCCAACAUAAUCCUCUACUCGAGUCCGGCCUAGUCCAGCCUAGUCCAGCCUAGUCCAGCCUAGUCUACUCCAGUCUGCUCCAGUCUGCUCCAGUCUGCUCUGGUCUGGCUGGGAAAUGACUGUAAUGUGCUGCUUUCUGCUCUUCCAAAGUGUAGUUAGAAAAGCCAGCAGUUAGUCCAACAGGACUCCUUACUAGGAUGCCUAAGGAACUGCUUCCUAAGCUAGUCAGCCCUCGGAGGCUAUGUAGUGGUUAAGGACUACAUGGAUCAACUUGACCUGCCAGUGCUCUUGGUCUUGGAACGUUCUCAUGGUGGAGCCAUGAACACUGACCCUAACUGAGGCAAGUGAGGCCUGCACUGCUUUGUUGUUGUGGGGUCUUUUGUGACCUCUCAGAUCUGAGUCGUGGCUGCGCUCUUGGCUUCAUUCUGGUUGUCCGGCCACUCUGAGCAAGAUCUUUAUUUCAUAAAUAGAAAGAUACUAGAUGGACAGAUAGAUGGAUAGAAAAUCCAGGAGAAGUUAUCAUUGUGAUGGCGAAAGACUUCCUCCUCCUCCUCCUCCUCCUCCUCCGGCUGCUGUAAAUGUGUGUGGGUGAUGUUGCCAUGGCAACACAAAUCCAUCAUCUGUGUGUUGGUGUGUUGCUGUUACACAAUUAAAUAAUAUUUAUCAUCACACUCGAGGUCCGCUCCCGUUUUACCGUGAGCAGGAUACACACCUUGUACUAAAGUACCACAGUAUGUGGUACAAGACUAUCAUACUAUCAUAGGACAGGGUAGUGGUACAUACACAUGACUUCUACUGGUAGAGAGACGGGGCAGUGCUAGCCACACAGCGGCAGAGAGAGCGAGAGAUGGAGUUGGGUAGAGAGAGAGAGAGAGAGAGAGAGAGUUGGGUAGAGAGAGAGAGAGAGAGAGAGAGACAGUUGGGUAGAGAGAGAGAGAGAGAGAGAGAGAGAGACAGUUGGGUAGAGAGAGGUGUGGAGGUGUUGGAGUGUUCCUAUGAAUGUUGGCCAGUGUGUAAGGUGCAGGCAUAGAGCAUAGAGCAUAGAUAAUAGAGCAUAGAUAAUAGAUCAUAGAGCAUAGAUAAUAGAUCAUAGAGCAUAGAUAAUAGAGCAUAGAGUGUGUAGUGUGUAGUGUGUAGUGUGUGUCGUCAUGUAGUGCAUCGCGUUCACGGCGGAUAUUGAGGAAGAGUUUUUGUUGAUCUGCCAUCGUCCAAUCAAAGGCCGGGUACUACGGUUUGGAAGGCCAGCAUGGAAGAAGCCGACCUGCUGAAGGAACGCCUCCAGGCCAUCACGGACAAGAGGAGGAUCCAGGAGGACAUUGCCAAGAAGAGAAGACAGAUAGAGGAAGAAAAACUCAAACUGCAGUACAUAAAGAAGAAGACCCUCAGGGAGCAAUGGCUGAUGGAUGGUUUGAGCCAGCAGUCAGGGGAGGAGCAGGAGGCCAUGAGGCUUCAGGCCCAGGAUGAACAGCAACAAAGUGAUCAUCUGCAGACCAACAUCGACAGGAUAGAAAAGGAAAUUGGGGCCUUAGAAAUGGAGGAGCUCAACAUCUCAGCCAAUGAGGAAUUUGUUCUGAAGCGACUGAAAGAAGUGGAGAGGACUGCUGAGGACAUCAUCAAGAAAGCUACUUCAGAGAAGGAAGAAGCAGAUGGACAUGAACUAAAAGCUUUCAGCACUUCGGAGAAUAACAAGUUGGAAUUUGUCACCAUGGAAACCAGCGAUCCAGCAGAACUGGCAGCGGGGACCGAGGUGGAGGUGGAGGUCCCUGUGACUGAUUUACCUGAGAAGGAGAUCAGCUUCAACGUGGACAUAGAAGAAGGUUGCAUGAAUACAGACCCGUCUAGUUUCCAUGAUGAACCAAGUUCUGGCAAAUCCUCGACUGACCCGACCAGCGCCACCGGCAGCCCCGAGACCCGUGAUGGCAGUGAUGAACAGGAAGCCACAGCGUUUGAAGAAGGACACUCGGAGCUCCAAAGGAACGAGUCCAUGGCUUCUUCAGUGUCCGAUACGCUGUCCAGUGCUGAAAGUGUUUAUGAAAAUGAAGCUCAGUGUAAGACGCAGGGAACAGCAGAAGAACCCGAGGAGGACUUGGAGCACCUGGAGCCACAGGACCACUCCAACCCAGACGGUCUGCAGGAAACUCAGGAACAACCCGAGGAGGAGCAAGACACUCAGACAGAGCGUUACCCAGAUCUCCACCUGUUCCCGGAUGAGGAUUAUCAUCCUAAUGAUAGCUUCCAGAAUUUGGAAGUCGAUGCAGAGGGGGACGCUGAAGACCCUGAAAUCCUUUGUGAAAGCCCCAUCCCGGAGGAAUUGAUGCUGGUGCAGAACAUGAGAGAAGAUGUCCUGUCCGACGUCUCCAGUGAGUCGUGUCCAUGCCCUGACCCCGAUGAGGUCACCGACUGUCUGAGGGUUGAAGUUGCAGCAGCAUCGUCGGAUAGUGAGACGGAUGAAAAAUGGAGAACGAUAUUUUCCUCCUCUAUAAACAAAGAAGAUGACGACUCCUACUUGGACAGUCUUCAGCUGAGUGCCCAGGAGCUCUUUGUACAGAAGGUCGAGGUGAUUGACUUUGACGAACCAGAUGACGACCACUACGAGGAAGUCCAAUUUAGCGUUCCACAAGUUGAAGAACUGCUGGAACAACCAGAUGCUGCUUCCUUACCCACCCCAUCUCAAGACGUGAAAUGUAUCUCUUUAGGCCCGCAAAGUCUCUUCAAAAUCUCCGAAGAUGAAAAUGAAAAUGGGAAAGACGACGGUGGCGCUCAGGGACUACUCUCCCAGACCGCCACGGCGGAUCCCAAGAGGAGACUGCCCAAAGACUUCUGCGUGAUACAAGAAACCAAGAGCGUGAACGUCAGCACCGAGCACGUGGACUUCCAACUGGCUCGUCAGCAGUGGCGAGCCAUGGAAGAGCAAACCAAGAACCAAGUGUUGGCGCCCGCCACCAAGCAGAGCAGCUUCCAUUGCAGCCACAGCUGCAUGUACACACCGGUCCGAAACAUCCAGAGAACCAAUAGAAGAUCCCAGGAGCUGGACAACCUGACCCUUGUCGGGGAGUAUACGCUCACCCAGUUCAGCCCGUGCUCCGAAGACUCGGGCUUGGGCGAUUCCAGCUACAGAUCUCCCAACGAAGACCUGGAAACGCCGGUGGAAAAAGAGAUUCGCCUGUCCAUGGCAAGAGAGGAGAGUUUCAGGAAGGAGAGGGGUCUGUCCAGGAUGGGCAGGUCAGCAGAUACUCCAUCAGCAGGUCUCCCAAGAUCCGCCAGCACGCCAUUGACCCCGUCGUUUAUCAUCACCUCCUCGCCCACAAAGGAGCCGGCGAAACACGAAGCAUCCCCGACAAAUAUUGUGGUUCUGGACCCGAGCAGCGAGGUGGGCCCCGGCCCCGGUUGUGCCGAAUGGUGCCCUGAGGACGGGGGCUCUAAUCUCAUCAUUCUGGAGACGUCCAACCUGAUAAUCCGCAGUGCUUCAGAGUUCUCCCUCAACAAGGCCUGUGAGCCCCAGGAAAAGAUGUUCACCAGCAACCCCUUUUUCAAGUUACGCUCCAGAAGCACCAUGUCUCUGGUGGACGAGGAGAUCAGGGUGGUCAAGCAGAGGGAGGAGGAGCUCAGGAAGGAGAGGGCUCAUCUCCACACCAAAGGGAGGAUGCUGUCUUUGGAUUAUUCAGCUGCUCUGCCGGUCAAAUGCAAGUCCUCUCCGUCAUCGCCGAUGAAAACCGCCAAGAUGGAUCGUUCCGCUUUAUCCUGCGAUCAUCGGUUUUUAGACGGCUACACGGGCGGAAGACGCAAGAGUGCCAUGGCUCUGCGCUGGGAGGCGGGCGAGUUCACUAAAAAGGACUAAGAGAUGUUCAUGGGUGUUAAACGCUGCGCUGCCAAUGCUCAUCCACGUUUGUGAAUAAAGCUUAAGAGACCGAUGCUAAAGAGGCGGGGCAAAUGAAUGUUGUUGCUUGGUGUGACUAGGAAGUGGAGUAUCGUGGAUGUUGGCGGGGGCAACUAGGAAGUGGAGUAUCGUGGAUGUUGGCGGGGGCAACUAGGAAGUGGAGUAUCAUGGAUGUCGGCGGGGGCAACUAGGAAGUGGAGUAUCGUGGAUGUUGGCGGGGGCAACUAGGAAGUGGAGUAUCA